rnacentral:rRNA from 1 species
GAUUUAUCGGUGAUGGAUGGGGAUGCGUCUGAUUAGCUUGUUGGCGGGGUAACGGCCCACCAAGGGCGACGAUCAGUAGGGGUUCUGAGAGGAAGGUCCCCCACAUUGGAACUGAGACACGGUCCAAACUCCUACGGGAGGCAGCAGUGAGGAAUAUUGGUCAAUGGGCGAGAGCCUGAACCAGCCAAAUAGCGUGCAGGAUGACGGCCCUAUGGGUUGUAAACUGCUUUUAUAAGGGAAUAAAGUGAGCCUCGUGAGGCUUUUUGCAUGUACCUUAUGAAUAAGGACCGGCUAAUUCCGUGCCAGCAGCCGCGGUAAUACGGAAGGUCCGGGCGUUAUCCGGAUUUAUUGGGUUUAAAGGGAGCGUAGGCCGGAGAUUAAGCGUGUUGUGAAAUGUAGAUGCUCAACAUCUGCACUGCAGCGCGAACUGGUUUCCUUGAGUACGCACAAAGUGGGCGGAAUUCGUGGUGUAGCGGUGAAAUGCUUAGAUAUCACGAAGAACUCCGAUUGCGAAGGCAGCUCACUGGAGCGCAACUGACGCUGAAGCUCGAAAGUGCGGGUAUCGAACAGGAUUAGAUACCCUGGUAGUCCGCACGGUAAACGAUGGAUGCCCGCUGUUGGUCUGAAUAGGUCAGCGGCCAAGCGAAAGCAUUAAGCAUCCCACCUGGGGAGUA